CACAAAGCCUGCAGCUGAGUUGUUUGUUUGUUUGUUCCUGAAUCUCUUUUGUUGUUGUUGUUGUUGUUAUUGUUGUACCUAAAUCUCUUUUCCUGUUUGAGUCUGGAAGGACCUGGCUUCAGGAACUCUGAAUGGCCAAGUUUCAUAGUCUUCCUGAGCUUUAACCAGUAAAGUGGUCAUCGCUCCAUCCCCACCUCUGGUCAUCCUCCCCACCCCCAGCUUCAGGAAGCACAAGGACAGGAACCCACAGGCAGCCCUGAGCCCAGCCUAGACUGCGGGAAGGCAACUGAGACCUCCAUGAGAAGGGGGCACCUGAGAGCACAUGCAACCAAGCUGUGUCCCUGCAAGGGACCACCCUCCCUAGGCCGGUGUCAGCUGAGUCCUCUCUCUCCGUCGGCCAGGUGCCCUCACUGCCCAGAGGUGGAACUCAGCAGCCCAGGCGCCGCCGCCCUGAGUAUCCUGCGGAAAAUGUGAGAACUCUGGGGAGCCAUUGCUGCUGCAAGGACCCGCGGGCGGGCUACCGCGCUGGUGGGGGGGCUCUGUCCAAACCUUGCGUCCUCGACUUCCCAUCCGCCUCAUAAAGGGUUGGUGAAGACCAUCUCAAGGACCGCACGAACUGGUCCUUCAAGUCCCAGGAAACCGAAACAACAACCGAGGCGGCUCUCUGUCCGGGCCACUUCCGGAGCGAGCUCUGCGGCGG
rnacentral:lncRNA from 1 species